AGUGAACGCUGGCGGUAGGCCUAACACAUGCAAGUCGAACGGCAGCACAGUAAGAGCUUGCUCUUAUGGGUGGCGAGUGGCGGACGGGUGAGGAAUACAUCGGAAUCUACUUUUUCGUGGGGGAUAACGUAGGGAAACUUACGCUAAUACCGCAUACGACCUACGGGUGAAAGCAUGGGAUCUUUGGACCUUGCGCGAUUGAAUUAGCCGAUGUCGGAUUAGUUAGUUGGCGGGGUAAAGGCCAACCAAGGCGACGGUCCGUAGCUGGUCUGAGAGGAUGAUCAGCCACACUGGAACUGAGACACGGUCCAGACUCCUACGGGAGGCAGCAGUGGGGAAUAUUGGACAAUGGGCGCAAGCCUGAUCCAGCCAUACCGCGUGGGUGAAGAAGGCCUUCGGGUUGUAAAGACCUUUUGUUGGGAAAGAAAAGCAGCAGGUUAAUACCCCGCUGUUCUGACGGUACCCAAAGAAUAAGCACCGGCUAACUUCGUG
rnacentral:rRNA from 1 species